UUUCCUUUAGUAUAAAAAGAAUACAGCUAAUUUCGAAUUAGCGAAUACUAGAUAGUAAGGAAAC
rnacentral:tRNA from 1 species